GGUUCCGUGGUCCAGUGGUCAAGACUCAUCGUUGUGGUUCUCUACCUUCUUCUACUCUCCGAUGCAACCCGUGUUCGAUUCACGGCGGAGCCA